AGGCAGCCUGGCUUGGAGGGGCCCUCAGAGGCUGUGGUGCCCAGGCCAGGCACUGUGGCUCCCACUGCUUCCUCCUAUCUCCUCUCUGCCACCCUCAGUCCGUCCCCUCCUGCCUGUGCCCCUCUUCUCCCUCCGUCCAAUCCCCCUGCCCAGCCCCAUCUGUCUCCUCUGCAUUGCGCCAUGUGUCUGUUUUUUCUGUCUCUCUGGGUUGGUCUCUUUCCUCAUCAGUGUCUGUCUGUCUGUCACUCUGCACAUACAUCUCUUUCUUGCUCUGUCUCUGUCUCAUUCUGUGCAUCCACUCCAGCAUCUCUGGGUCCCCACGUCGCUAUCUCCCUGGGGGUCUUUGUCUCUUUGUGCCGGGUCUUUUUGCUCUUCUCUCUCUGUGUCUCUCUCUGUCCGUCUCUGCCUCUCUGUGUCUCUGUCUUCCCUGAGGGGGUGUGUGUCUGUCUGUCCGUCCACUGGGUCUCAGGCAACUGAAAAUACCCCCUGCGUCCCAUUUGAUGUGCAGUUGUGAGAUUCCCUUUGAAUAUUGCAGCAGCGAGUUGACGGUUGCCAAGGGAACAGCCCCAAUUUGGUCAUCAUGGGGAUUAACAGAGACGAUCCCUGCACAGCACCCAGCACGGUGCCACACUGGCCUGGCUGGCCACACACCAGCCUCUGCUGUCCAAGUUAGAGAACCCUGUGAGCUUGGACUGGACUUGAACCAUCUGCUUCUGGAGUGGCCAUGGUUGUUUCACCAGCAUUUACUCACUUGUACACCAGAGUCAUCUGUGAGUAGGAUGUGGGUUUGUGCAUUAAUAAUGAUUACUUAGUAACUAUGUAUGAAUAGGAAUUAUUAAUGGACUUGUUUUCUUGUGUCCUUUUCUAAACUAUGAGCCCUUAUCCAUUUAACCUGCAUAGUAAAUCUUUGAGAUAGGGACUAUUAUUGUUCCCAUUUUACAGAUGAGGAAAUUGAGGAAUUCAGUAACUAUAAUAUGGAAACGAAAGUGCAAUGAUUGGGGGAAAUACAGGAAGUCAGGGGAUCAAAGAAGCAGACCCCCCUCUGCUCCCACCACCCUGUUAAUGGAAGGCAGAGCUGGAGGGUACCACCAGACAAGGUCUGAGCAGGGUCUGGUGGGGUGUGUGGGUGUCUACUGGGUGCAUUGUGCGAAGGUGGGUUUGGAGGGUGGCGUGCACGGACUGUAGACAGGUGUAGAGCUGGGUGUGAGACCCACCUGGGCAGAUUAGGAAGGAC
rnacentral:lncRNA from 10 species